rnacentral:tRNA from 1 species
CCGGAUGUGGCGCAGAGGCAGGUGGCGCGCCGCCUUCUCAGGGCGGAAACGCCGGUUCGAAUCCAGCCGCCCCGCCC